UAUGGCUCAGAUUGAACGCUGGCGGCAGGCCUAACACAUGCAAGUCGAACGGUAACAGGAAGCAGCUUGCUGCUUCGCUGACGAGUGGCGGACGGGUGAGUAAUGUCUGGGAAACUGCCUGAUGGAGGGGGAUAACUACUGGAAACGGUGGCUAAUACCGCAUAACGUCGCAAGACCAAAGAGGGGGACCUUCGGGCCUCUUGCCAUCAGAUGUGCCCAGAUGGGAUUAGCUUGUUGGUGAGGUAACGGCUCACCAAGGCGACGAUCCCUAGCUGGUCUGAGAGGAUGACCAGCCACACUGGAACUGAGACACGGUCCAGACUCCUACGGGAGGCAGCAGUGGGGAAUAUUGCACAAUGGGCGCAAGCCUGAUGCAGCCAUGCCGCGUGUAUGAAGAAGGCCUUCGGGUUGUAAAGUACUUUCAGCGGGGAGGAAGGUGUUGUGGUUAAUAACCGCAGCAAUUGACGUUACCCGCAGAAGAAGCACCGGCUAACUCCGUGCCAGCAGCCGCGGUAAUACGGAGGGUGCAAGCGUUAAUCGGAAUUACUGGGCGUAAAGCGCACGCAGGCGGUCUGUCAAGUCGGAUGUGAAAUCCCCGGGCUCAACCUGGGAACUGCAUUCGAAACUGGCAGGCUUGAGUCUUGUAGAGGGGGGUAGAAUUCCAGGUGUAGCGGUGAAAUGCGUAGAGAUCUGGAGGAAUACCGGUGGCGAAGGCGGCCCCCUGGACAAAGACUGACGCUCAGGUGCGAAAGCGUGGGGAGCAAACAGGAUUAGAUACCCUGGUAGUCCACGCCGUAAACGAUGUCUACUUGGAGGUUGUGCCCUUGAGGCGUGGCUUCCGGAGCUAACGCGUUAAGUAGACCGCCUGGGGAGUACGGCCGCAAGGUUAAAACUCAAAUGAAUUGACGGGGGCCCGCACAAGCGGUGGAGCAUGUGGUUUAAUUCGAUGCAACGCGAAGAACCUUACCUGGUCUUGACAUCCACAGAAGAAUCCAGAGAUGGAUUUGUGCCUUCGGGAACUGUGAGACAGGUGCUGCAUGGCUGUCGUCAGCUCGUGUUGUGAAAUGUUGGGUUAAGUUCCGCAACGAGCGCAACCCUUAUCCUUUGUUGCCAGCGAUUAGGUCGGGAAUUCAAAGGAGACUGCCAGUGAUAAACUGGAGGAAGGUGGGGAUGACGUCAAGUCAUCAUGGCCUUUACGACCAGGGUUACACACGUGCUACAAUGGCGCAUACAAAGAGAAGCGACCUCGCGAGAGCAAGCGGACCUCAUAAAGUGCGUCGUAGUCCGGAUUGGAGUCUGCAACUCGACUCCAUGAAGUCGGAAUCGCUAGUAAUCGUGGAUCAGAAUGCCACGGUGAAUACGUUCCCGGGCCUUGUACACACCGCCCGUCACACCAUGGGAGUGGGUUGCAAAAGAAGUAGGUAGCUUAACCUUCGGGAGGGCGCUUACCACUUUGUGAUUCAUGACUGGGGUGAAGUCGUAACAAGG
rnacentral:rRNA from 1 species